AUGGUUUCUGACAUAUGUUUGCAACGGACCUUCGGAUAAAAUAGAAAUAUUUUGUUGGGUGAUGCAACUACAUUACUAUUUUAUUAUGUAACGGCUUAAAAUUAAACCAGCCACAGUGAGCCUGCUAGUGGUACAGGUGAUACUCCCCGUCUCAUCAAUAUAUAUUAUUUUGCACUUGUAGUCAUGAAACAGACAAAUUGUGCAUUUGUUUUAAAUAAUUUCAGAUCCUCUUAGACUACUUGGGGACAUCAGAUCAAAUAUUUUCGAAUACGAUUGUGUCCAAGAACUUUUAACAAGUAGCUGAUACUGGAAACCUCUUUGCGGAUCCGCACUCAUAAUGGCAACCAUAAUGAAACUGAGCAGCUAGUUAUUGAGGCAUACCAAAUUUUACAUCAGCAUUCAUACAAAAACUUGUGUAUUGCAUGUACAACUUCUUCAUAUGUUUUUUUUUUUUUUAUACUGUAUUAAUAUAAUUUUUAUAGUACUGAUGCAUCUUUAUGAAACAUCUGGG